rnacentral:rRNA from 1 species
CACGCCGCGUGAGUGACGAAGGUUUUCGGAUCGUAAAGCUCUGUUGUGAGGGAAGAACAAGUACCACUUAACUACUGGUACCUUGACGGUACCUCACCAGAAAGCCACGGCUAACUACGUGCCAGCAGCCGCGGUAAUACGUAGGUGGCAAGCGUUGUCCGGAAUUAUUGGGCGUAAAGCGCGCGCAGGCGGUCCUUUAAGUCUGAUGUGAAAGCCCACGGCUCAACCGUGGAGGGUCAUUGGAAACUGGGGGACUUGAGUGCAGAAGAGGAAAGUGGAAUUCCACGUGUAGCGGUGAAAUGCGUAGAGAUGUGGAGGAACACCAGUGGCGAAGGCGACUUUCUGGUCUGUAACUGACGCUGAGGCGCGAAAGCGUGGGGAGCAAACAGGAUUAGAUACCCUGGUAGUCCACGCCGUAAACGAUGAGUGCUAAGUGUUAGGGGGUUUCCGCCCCUUAGUGCUGCAGCUAACGCAUUAAGCACUCCGCCUGGGGAGUACGGCCGCAAGGCUGAAACUCAAAG